rnacentral:rRNA from 1 species
CCUACGGGUGGCAGCAGUGAGGAAUAUUGGUCAAUGGACGCAAGUCUGAACCAGCCAUGCCGCGUGCAGGAAGACGGCCCUAUGAGUUGUAAACUUCUUUUGUACGGGGGUAAACGCAGAUACGCGUAUCUGUCUGCAAGUAUCUUACGAAUAAGGAUCGGCUAACUCCGUGCCAGCAGCCGCGGUAAUACGGAGGAUUCAAGCGUUAUCCGGAUUUAUUGGGUUUAAAGGGUGCGUAGGCGGUCGGAUAAGUUAGAGGUGAAAUCCUGAGGCUCAACUUGGGAAUUGCGUCUGAUACUGUUCGGCUAGAGAGCAGUUGCGGUAGGCGGAAUGUAUGGUGUAGCGGUGAAAUGCUUAGAGAUCAGGCAGAACACCGAUUGCGAAGGCAGCUUACCAAGCUACUACUGACGUUGAGGCACGAAAGCGUGGGGAGCAAACAGGAUUAGAUACCCCAGUAGUC